rnacentral:rRNA from 1 species
CCUACGGGAGGCAGCAGUGAGGAAUAUUGGUCAAUGGCCGAGAGGCUGAACCAGCCAAGUCGCGUGAGGGAUGACGGCCCUACGGGUUGUAAACCUCUUUUGUCGGGGAGCAAAGAGAGUCACGUGUGGCUCAUUGAGAGUACCCGAAGAAAAAGCAUCGGCGAACUCCGUGCCAGCAGCCGCGGUAAUACGGAGGAUGCGAGCGUUAUCCGGAUUUAUUGGGUUUAAAGGGUGCGCAGGCGGAGGUGCAAGUCAGUGGUAAACUUGCGGGGCUCAACCCCGGACUGCCGUUGAAACUGCAUCCCUUGAGGGCGUGAGAAGUAUGCGGAAUGCGUGGUGUAGCGGUGAAAUGCGUAGAUAUCACGAAGAACCCCGAUUGCGAAGGCAGCCUGCCGCAGCGUUACUGACGCUGAAGCUCGAAAGCGCGGGUAGCGAACAGGAUUAGAUACCCGUGUAGUC